rnacentral:rRNA from 1 species
UACGAAGGGGGCUAGCGUUGCUCGGAAUCACUGGGCGUAAAGGGUGCGUAGGCGGGUUUUUAAGUCAGGGUGAAAUCCUGGAGCUCAACUCCAGAACUGCCUUUGAUACUGAAGAGCUUGAGUCCGGGAGAGGUGAGUGGAACUCCGAAGUGUAGAGGUGAAAUUCGAUAGAUAUUCGGAAGAACACCAGUGGCGAAGGCGGCUCACUGGCCCGGUACGUGACGCUGAUGGUGCGAAAAGCGUGGGGAGCAACAGGG